rfam:Salmo salar isolate Sally breed double haploid chromosome ssa13, whole genome shotgun sequence.
UGUAUUCACUACUGUAAGUUGCUCUGGAUAAGAGCGUCUGCUAAAUCAUUAAAA